UAACCACUCCCGCUUGCGGGGUCUUGGGUUUCGCCUCUGGGCGGGCCUUAAAAUCAGUGGCGGUGCCGUCUGGCUCUAAGCGUAGUAAAUUAUCCUCGCUAUAGGGUCCAGGUGGAUGCUUGCCAACAACCCCCAAAUUUUUUAA
rnacentral:misc_RNA from 1 species